GUGGGUACAGCUCAGUGGUAGAGCAUGAGCUUAGCAUGCAUGAUGUCCUGGGUUCCAUCCCCAGCACCUCCA
rnacentral:tRNA from 1 species